GAUGAAGAACGUAGCGAAAUGCGAUAAGUAAUGUGAAUUGCAGAAUUCAGUGAAUCAUCGAAUCUUUGAACGCACCUUGCGCCCUUUGGCCAUUCCGAAGGGCAUGCCUGUUUGAGUAUCAUGAACACCUCAACUCUUCAUGGUUUUCCAUGAUGAGCUUGGACUUUGGGGGUCUUGCUGGCCUGUGGGUCGGCUCCUCUCAAAUGAAUCAGCUUGCCGGUUUUUGGUGGGCAUCACAGGUGUGAUAACUAUCUACGCUUGUGGUUUUCCACCAGGGUAACCUUCAGCAGUGGAGGUUCACUGGAGCUUACAAAUGUCUCUCCUCUGUGAGGACAGCCCUUUGAAUGUUUGAUCUCAAAUCAGGUAGGACUACACGCUGAACUUAAGCAUAUCAAUAACGGAGGA
rnacentral:misc_RNA from 1 species